AGUGAACGCUGGCGGUAGGCCUAACACAUGCAAGUCGAACGGCAGCACAGUAAGAGCUUGCUCUUACGGGUGGCGAGUGGCGGACGGGUGAGGAAUACAUCGGACUCUACUUUUUCGUGGGGGAUAACGUAGGGAAACUUACGCUAAUACCGCAUACGACCUACGGGUGAAAGCAGGGGAUCUUCGGACCUUGCGCGAUUGAAUGAGCCGAUGUCGGAUUAGCUAGUUGGCGGGGUAAAGGCCCACCAAGGCGACGAUCCGUAGCUGGUCUGAGAGGAGGAUCAGCCACACUGGAAGGUAGACACGGUCCAUACUCCUACGGGAGGCAGCAGUGGGGAAUAUUAGACAAUGGGCGCAAGCCUUAUCCAGCCAUACCGCGUGGGUGAAGAAGGCCUUCGGGUUGUAAAGCCCUUUUGUUGGGAAAGAAAAGCAGCAGGUUAAUACCCCGCUGUUCUGACGGUACCCAAAGAAUAAGCACCGGCUAACUUCGUG
rnacentral:rRNA from 1 species